CAAUAGCGUAUAUUAAAGUUGUUGCAGUUAAAAAGCUCGUAGUUGGAUUUGUGGCGUACGGUGUGUUCCGGGCACUUGUUGUCUGAGUAACCUGCUGUUGCCAUCCUUGGGUGGAACCUGUGUGGCAUUAGGUUGUCGUGCAGGGGAUGCCCAUCAUUUACUGUGAAAAAAUUAGAGUGUUCAAAGCAGGCUUAUGCCGUUGAAUAUAUUAGCAUGGAAUAAUGAGAUAGGACUUUUUUGCUAUUUUGUUGGUUUGCGCAAGAAGGUAAUGAUUAAUAGGGACAGUUGGGGGUAUUCGUAUUCCAUUGUCAGAGGUGAAAUUCUUGGAUUUUUGGAAGACGAACUACUGCGAAAGCAUUUACCAAGGAUGUUUUCAUUA
rnacentral:rRNA from 1 species